CCUACCAUGGCCGACCAGAGACAACGCUCACUCUCUACCUCUGGGGAAUCACUCUACCAUGUCCUGGGGCUGGACAAGAACGCAACCUCAGACGACAUUAAAAAGUCCUAUCGGAAACUUGCCUUGAAAUAUCACCCUGACAAGAACCCUGAUAACCCAGAGGCUGCAGACAAGUUUAAGGAGAUCAACAACGCCCACGCCAUCCUGACGGACGCCACAAAAAGAAACAUCUACGACAAGUACGGCUCGCUGGGGCUCUACGUGGCCGAGCAGUUUGGGGAGGAGAACGUGAACACCUACUUCGUGCUCUCCAGUUGGUGGGCCAAGGCCCUGUUCGUCGUGUGCGGGCUGCUGACCUGCUGCUACUGCUGCUGCUGCCUGUGCUGCUGCUUUAACUGCUGCUGUGGGCGCUGCAAGCCCCGGGCGCCCGCGGGCGAGGACGCCGACUUCUAUGUGUCCCCCGAGGACCUGGAGGCGCAGCUGCAGUCCGAUGAGCGCGGAGGGCACUGACUCUGUGCGGGAGUGUUUGUGGUGGCGGCUGGGACUGUUGAGGUGUGAACGUGGACACUUGAGAGGCCACAGACACGCCGGUCGUCAUACAGCCAGCGUCCGCCACAGAGACCACCCAGCUGACGGCCGACUCCCACCCCAGCUACCACACCGACGGGUUCAACUAAGUGCGGGAGCAGCUGCGGCAGAGGACAGCGCAGCAGCCGGCCACUUCACCUUAGAGUCCUGGACCGUAGUCACAGAGAUGGGGAGGAAGGGCAGCCGCCGGCCCGCCGGGGCCCUUCCCACCUCUGUGCCCGCCCGCCCACGCGCCCCCACCACGUGAAGUGCGUCGCAUGCAGUAUUUAAAGCAGUUUAGCUACGGUCUUCUUCUUUUUCUGUUUUCUCCUUUUUUAGUAGCAUGUAUGGGGUUACGUUCCAUGUCUGUCUGUGUUGUGGGCGUGCCGCGCGGCGUGACCGCGUUACCAGUGGAGCCGCCUCGGGGCUUUCAGUUCGCUGCGCCGACUGCGGCUGCGUGGUACCCCCCAGCCAGGCAGGCUGGGGCGGGAGGGGUGGCUCCUUUCCCCUGUGCUGGUGGGGGCCGGAAGCAGGUGCUGCCUGGCGGGAGCUCUGGGUCUGGACCCCCCCGCCCCCCCCGUGCUUGCCAGCUGCGUGGGCACAGGCAGAGGCUCUGGACGCAUUGCUGGGAAGGAGCUGGUGUGUCCUCCCUUUGCCUGGUCCCGUCAACAUUUCCGUGGUGUUUGUGCGGGUCUGUUUGCCUUGGUUGCUUGGCCUUGUGGCAGGGUUUUUUCCAUGGGUAAGUUUGUUGUGGAAAGUGUGGGAGGCUCUGCUGACCCCAAGACCACGUUUUCUACCUGGGUGCAGCCUCGGUCUCCUUGUCACAUGGUCCUUUGAGCGUGUUCCCUCGCCAGGCUGUGGGAGGUGUACCCUCCAUGCUCCCACACUGUCCCCCGGCCACGAGCUGGGUGGAUGGGGCCACAUUCCUCCACCUCCUCUCCCCUUUGGCCACCCUCUACAUUCCUUCAGGCCCACCUGGCCUUCUGGUCCUUUCUGGACCUCUUAAGAACCGCAAGCGGUAGCAGUGACCCGGUUUGUUGUUGUUAGAGGAGCCGACAGUCCAGGUUGCUGGUGGAGCAUGGCUGAGCAGCCCUGAGAAGCACACGUGGGGAGCACAGCCCUCUUCUCUGUGCUUCGCAGAGCUCCUACCCACCCCACUGCCCUUCACCUGUUCCCUUCAGUCACCGUCGAUGGUUCAGGCAGAGCUAGAGACGCCAGGUUCCUGGAGGAAGGACCAGCUGGACCAAAGGCACAGCCUGGUGCCCUUGGCUUGUGAGCCAGCAGCCUGACCGUGGAGCCCCCACUCACUCACCGUUGUCUUGAGUGGCACCUUCUGUGAACUCUUGGAAGUCAGUCUUUCUUGUCUGUGUCCCAGAACUUGUGGGUGGUGCCCCUGCUGCCGGGGACAAGGAAACGGGUUACGAUGUGCCUGUGCCGGCCCAGAGUUCACAGUGGCCCCCACACCCCCAGCAGCACUGGACGUGGUGUGGCUCCCUGCUGGACCCGCACUGGUCACUGGAGACCCGAGUGGUUUCUGCAGAACGAACUUGAGGGCUGCUGCUGAGUGUGUCCUGCGUGUCCAGCAGAUGAAAAGCAAGGAGGACGAUGUCGGCUCUGACGUGCACUGUUUCCAGCACCGCCUCCCCCCAGCCUGCCCGCCCGCUGGGCCUCGGCCCUUGUCUGCCCACCCACAGCUCUGCCGAGAGCGGGUGCUUGUUGACCCGAAAGGGGCUGAAGGGACAGCAGUGUCCGUGCGGAACGUGGACAGGCUCCGAGCACAGUGCUGGGUGCGGCCGGCUCUGGUGGAACGGCUCCCAGGUCCUUGGGCAGGUUUUUGGUCCCCCCCCCUUUUGUUUUUGUUUUUGUUCAUUAAAAUGAUCAUGAGCACAUUCAGUGAGAGGGAAAAUAUGCACUAUGCUCUUAAAUUAGAAAUAAUUUGCUAAAAUCAGACGUCAUGAAAGAUGAUAAGUUCUCUACGCCACCCUGGGAAGAGGUAAGAGCACAGGGUCGUCUGUACCAGUCCCAACAGCAGCAAGGACACAGCCUUUGUGGUGUUUCUGAAAAUAACUUUCGGAGCUGUUUUUCGCUGGCAUGGCCAAGAACCAAGUUCAAAGCUUGGACUUCAGGUACCAAGGCUCCCCCUGCGGGGCCACUGCAGCUCUGUGGUCAGGAACCCUAAAGGCCCAGCACACGUGUGUGAGCGAGUCCUCGACGGGACCUUGACAGAAACGUGAGGCUCUGCAGGGGACCAGGGUGUGGGGAGUGGGGCAGGUCUGGACGGGUGUUGAACCCAGGCUCCUGUAGGAUUUGUAAAAACCAAAUAAAUCAUGACAGUGAUGUUAACCC